rnacentral:rRNA from 1 species
CAAAGAGGGUAAAAACCCCGUAGACGAAAUGUGGAAGACACCUAGGAGGAUCCUGAGUACGGCGGAACACGAGAAAUUCCGUCGGAAUCCGGGAGGACCAUCUCCCAAGGCUAAAUACUCCCUAGUGACCGAUAGUGAACCAGUACCGUGAGGGAAAGGUGAAAAGCACCCCGGAAGGGGAGUGAAAUAGAACCUGAAACCGUGUGCCUACAACAAGUCAAAGCCCGUUAAUGGGUGAUGGCGUGCCUUUUGUAGAAUGAACCGGCGAGUUACGAUUGCAUGCGAGGUUAAGUUGAAGAGACGGAGCCGCAGCGAAAGCGAGUCUGAAUAGGGCGUUUGAGUAUGUAGUCGUAGACCCGAAACCAUGUGAUCUACCCAUGUCCAGGUUGAAGGUGCGGUAAAACGCACUGGAGGACCGAACCCACGUACGUUGAAAAGUGCGGGGAUGAGGUGUGGGUAGCGGAGAAAUUCCAAACGAACUUGGAGAUAGCUGGUUCUCUCCGAAAUAGCUUUAGGGCUAGCCUCGGAAUUGAGAAUGAUGGAGGUAGAGCACUGUUUGGACUAGGGGCCCAUCUCGGGUUACCGAAUUCAGAUAAACUCCGAAUGCCAUUCAUUCAUAUCCGGGAGUCAGACUGUGAGUGAUAAGAUCCAUAGUCGAAAGGGAAACAGCCCAGACCACCAGCUAAGGUCCCAAAAUAUAUGUUAAGUGGAAAAGGAUGUGGGGUUGCACAGACAACUAGGAUGUUGGCUUAGAAGCAGCCACCAUUUAAAGAGUGCGUAAUAGCUCACUAGUCGAGUGACCCUGCGCCGAAAAUGUACCGGGGCUAAACAUAUUACCGAAGCUGUGGAGUACACCUUUAGGUGUAUUGGUAGGAGAGCGUUCUAAGGGCGUUGAAGGCAGAUCGUGAGGACUGCUGGAGCGCUUAGAAGUGAGAAUGCCGGUAUGAGUAGCGAAAGACAGGUGAGAAUCCUGUCCACCGAAUGACUAAGGUUUCCUGGGGAAGGCUCGUCCGCCCAGGGUUAGUCGGGACCUAAGCCGAGGCCGACAGGCGUAGGCGAUGGAUAACAGGUUGAUAUUCCUGUACCCGUUGUUUUUGUUUGAGCAAUGGAGGGACGCAGGAGGCUAAGGAAUGCAGACGAUCGGAAAUGUCUGUCCAAGCAGUAAGUCUGAAGAGGAGU